UGAUUUUUCUGUUUCUACACAAGCCUAUUUGUUCCAAAGGUUAUAUUCCCCUUUAAAAGAGAAAAUUUAUUUUAUGUGGUAUUUGAUUUACUCAUUUUAGUUAAAUUUUUGAUACUUGUAAGCAAUUAUUUCUUAUAUAUCAGCAUUAUAUUCACGCAGUACAACUCAUGCUACACAAUAUCGAGAAAUAUUUU